GACGAACGCUGGCGGCGUGCUUAACACAUGCAAGUCGAACGGAAAGGCCCUGCUUUUGUUGGGUUCUCGAGUGGCGAACGGGUGAGUAACACGUGAGUAACCUGCCCUUGACUUUGGGAUAACUUCACGAAACUGGGGCUCAUACCGGAUAGGAGCUCCUGCUGCAUGGUGGGGGUUGGAAAGUUUCGGCGGUUGGGGAUGGACUCGCGGCUUAUCAGCUUGUUUGUGGGGUAGUGGCUUACCAAGGCUUUGACGGGUAGCCGGCCUGAGAGGGUGACCGGGCACAUGGGGACUGAGGUACGGCGCAGACGCCUACGGGAGGCAGCAGUGGGGAAUAUUGCAGAAUGGGGGGAAGCGUGAGGCAGAAACGCCGCGAGCGGGAUGACGGGCUUCGGGUUGUGAACCGCUGUCGCAGGAGACGAAGCGGGAGUGACGGUAAUGGGUAAAGAAGCACCGGCUAACUACGUG
rnacentral:rRNA from 1 species